CAGUCGUACGCACUGGCCCAACUGAUUGAUGGUGCUUGCACCUGAUUGACGAUGGAUCACCAGUGAGUGGCGGACGGGUGAGUAACACGUAGGUAACCUGCCCCGGAGCGGGGGAUAACAUUUGGAAACAGAUGCUAAUACCGCAUAACAAUAAAAGCCGCAUGGCUUUUAUUUGAAAGAUGGCUUUGGCUAUCACUCUGGGAUGGACCUGCGGUGCAUUAGCUAGUUGGUAAGGUAACGGCUUACCAAGGCGAUGAUGCAUAGCCGAGUUGAGAGACUGAUCGGCCACAAUGGAACUGAGACACGGUCCAUACUCCUACGGGAGGCAGCAGUAGGGAAUCUUCCACAAUGGGCGCAAGCCUGAUGGAGCAACACCGCGUGAGUGAAGAAGGGUUUCGGCUCGUAAAGCUCUGUUGUUGGAGAAGAACGUGCGUGAGAGUAACUGUUCAUGCAGUGACGGUAUCCAACCAGAAAGUCACGGCUAACUACGUGCCAGCAGCCGCGGUAAUACGUAGGUGGCAAGCGUUAUCCGGAUUUAUUGGGCGUAAAGCGAGCGCAGGCGGUUGCUUAGGUCUGAUGUGAAAGCCUUCGGCUUAACCGAAGAAGUGCAUCGGAAACCGGGCGACUUGAGUGCAGAAGAGGACAGUGGAACUCCAUGUGUAGCGGUGGAAUGCGUAGAUAUAUGGAAGAACACCAGUGGCGAAGGCGGCUGUCUGGUCUGCAACUGACGCUGAGGCUCGAAAGCAUGGGUAGCGAACAGGAUUAGAUACCCUGGUAGUCCAUGCCGUAAACGAUGAGUGCUAGGUGUUGGAGGGU
rnacentral:rRNA from 1 species